rnacentral:rRNA from 1 species
GUGGGGAAUCUUGCGCAAUGGGCGAAAGCCUGACGCAGCCAUGCCGCGUGGAUGAUGAAGGUCUUAGGAUUGUAAAAUCCUUUCACCGGUGAAGAUAAUGACGGUAGCCGAGAAGGAAGCCCCGGCUAACUACGUGCCAGCAGCCGCGGUAAUACGUAGGGGGCAAGCGUUGUCCGGAAUGAUUGGGCGUAAAGGGCGCGUAGGCGGACAGUUUAGUCAGAGGUGAAAGCCCAGGGCUCAACCUUGGAAUUGCCUUUGAUACUGGCUGUCUUGAGUACGGGAGAGGUGAGUGGAACUCCGAGUGUAGAGGUGAAAUUCGUAGAUAUUCGGAAGAACACCAGUGGCGAAGGCGACUCACUGGCCCGUUACUGACGCUGAGGCGCGAAAGCGUGGGGAGCAAACAGGAUUAGAAACCCCAGUAGUCC